GUCGGAUUAUGACUGAACGCCUCUAAGUCAGAAUCCGUGCCAGAAACGAGAACGUGUGCCCGAUGACGCGAGUAUCGAUAGCUUCGGCCUGUACCGUAUGAUUGCGCACCGGGUCCUCUCUUGAGAAGAGGGGCCUUGUCGCUGAAUAGCAAUUUCAAACAUGGGGCAUGGGAGAUCCUUUGUAGACGACUUAACAAGCAACGGGGUAUUGUAAGCAGUAGAGUAGCCUUGUUGCUACGAUCUGCUGAGAUUAA
rnacentral:rRNA from 1 species